CUCUUGUCUGACACCACGUAAGAUGGCGCCUUUGCUUCUCCUUCACCUUCCUCCAUGACUGUGAGGCCUCCCCAGCCAUGUGGAACUAUCUGUUGUUCAUAGGCAUGAGGUGAACACGCGCAUUUUCCAGCCAGGAGAACGUUCCGCUCAGCACGCACACCUGGAGACAGCCCAGCCCUGAGCAGGAAAUGCCUGCUGGGCUUGAAGAGGGCUUCCUGGGGUGUGAUGGAUGAUUGGGUUCUUUUUAAAGAAUAGGAGGCCCCAGUCAGCUUUCCAAGUCCCACACACAGGAGGUCGGGGGGACAGGCCCCUGGCCAGCUCCCAUCCUGCUGUGGUCCCAGCACCCCCAGACCUCCCGGCAGCUGACCCAGACUCUUGGGACCUGGCACCCUCAUCCCUGGAGGUCAACACUCCAAUGUCCGCUGGGCGUCUGACCUGGAGGACAGGGCUCCAAGGCACAGCCCAUGGCUGAGAGUGAAGAAACGGCGCCCUCAUGGCGGACCCUCCACCAAGCGGCCAGUGAACGAAGUGUGUUUGUACGGGAGGGCUUCCAGCCGCCGCGACCCCCACCAUCGAGAAACCAUCCUCUGGGCCCACCGCAGAACUCACUGUGCCCACAGCGGGGCUCUCUGGGGAGGGUCCUCGGAGCACAGUGGCGAGUGGACGGCACCCUGACCAUCCCGGGCAGGCUUUCCAAACUCGGCUGGUGGACAGCUUCCCUGCUGGGUCCCUGAAGUGAGGCCAGGUCACCCACAAGCCAGGAGCAUUGGCCGCACCCUGGCAGCCCUUGGCAUCCUCUCUCAUUGGGGCGUCACGUUGUCCCAGGGAGCCAGGCUGGUGACACUGGGGUCUGGAAAGAGGGGCCUAGCCCUGUCACACACACUGUCAGCCCUCCAAGGUGGCACGGGGACGGCGAGGCCGACAGCUGCUUGUGCGGAACUGGGCUGGUCCCAUCGGCUCUGGAAUCAGACCCCCUGAGGCUUGGAAAUAAGAUGGACCGGGGUCAGGCGAUGCUCAGUUGAAGGCAGACACCGCUCCCCACUUUGCUCCACAAGCACAAGCUCUUCCCAGCCAAGGCACAGCAGGGCAGGGGCCGCCAGGCACAGUGAAGGGGGCCAGGGCCUGCAGUCCCCCAUCCAGAGCUGGGCAGGGAGCCAUGCAGGCUGCGAGGUGGGGUGGCUGCUGCAGCUCCCAAGGGGUCUGGUGUGGACUAGAGGGCGAGUGGAGAACCUGGGACCUCUGCAGGGCGCACAGCCAUUUCCACACACAGCCCACUUCAGACCACUUGCUGCGGUGGUCACUGGUGGUCAGCCCAUAGCAAAGCGUCUGGCCCUGUGCCCCCACCCUGCCAGCACCAGGCUGGACAGUCCCCAGCGGCUGCACGGUGGCCUGGGCAGCUGUGAUGGGAGAGGCCCCCACAGACGAGGCCCCAAGUCGGCUCCUGGCUCUGCCCUGGACCGGCUCUGGGUUCUCGAGAGGCUGGCCCAGCCCUGCGCUGCUCUGAGCCAUGCGGACCCCGUGGGGAGGACCCCAUACUGCAGAUCCCUCACCGGUAGCCCCCACUCCAGGCCAGACUGAAACACCGCGGUGGGCUCCUGGAGCACCCCCCACGCCCGGGGCUGGCUGGCCUGGGAGGAGGGGACACAAGAACUUGGGACGGCAGUUCUCAAAAUGCAGUCUGGGGACCGCAGAGGUUCCUGAGAUGCUCUGGGGGGUCUGUGAGGCCAAACUUAUUUUGAUGAUGAAACUGACACAUUAUCCGUCUUUCUCAUUCUCGCUCUCACGAAUGUUCCAAGUACAAAACCCACGAUGCAGUUUCAGAUCUCACGUCCCAACAGACCUUUAAGACAGGACCACUUGUUGUGUUUGGGGAUCGAAUCGAAGCUUAUCCACAGUUAUCUGAGAGGACUGCCGAGGCACUCCUCCCUCCAAGUGCGCGGUGAGGCCAGACUUUCCACAGAUUUGCCCAAAACCCCAUUGCAGUGGCUUGAACACAGAAGCAGCUCCGAGAACCAGCUGUCUCCCGUGAAGCCAGACACCGAACAGACUGGAAAAGGGAAAAACAGUGCAUAUUCCUCACAGAUCUUCCGUUCGGGAAACGAUAAUUUAAUUGUUUUAAUUAAAAACAUAAUAUGUGAAAAUGUAGUGGGUUUAUCCUUGUUAAUGUGAAACGGAUCGAUACAUCAGUAUUUUUGGAUUUCUGUUUUAAUUUCUGAUAUAAUCAAUGUUGAUAGACAUAACUUGUGCAAACAAAGCUCUUCACGGUCUCCCAAGAUCUGUGGGUGUGGGGUGGGAUCGUGAGACCACAGUGUGGGGAGCAGGUCCCUCGGUCACCGUCCAGGCUCGGCAGCCCCUCGGCACGGGGCAUCCGCGUCCAGAGUCCUACAAGAAGGAGCCUCAGAGAACAGAGCCCCUGGCGCCCCAGCGUGAGAAGCUUCCAAUGCUUUCUCAGCAUCUUUUUCCAGAUAAAAAUGCCAGCCCUUCCUCUCCAAAGAUCUGAACCGCCUAGGGUUUUCUUGGCCUGGCAUCACGCCUUCCCUCAUCCGGCACCAACCCUUCCCUCCCGUCUCUAUGGUUUCUCCCGCUCUUUAUCCUCACAGCCCUGUGGAAAGACAUGGUCUGUGUGCCUGGAAAACGAUGCAAGGCCGUGGUGCCUGUGACGUCCUCAGACUCACACCCCAAUGCGGGGGACUGAACGUUUGUGUUCUCCCCAGUUCACAGGUUGAAGGCCUUGCCCCCAGUGCAGCUGUGUCUGGACACUGGGCCUCUGGGAAGUGAUGAUGGUUAAAUGAUGUCAGGAGGAUGGAGCCCGGGUCGGCUACGGCUGUGGCCCCAGUGACGCCGGUGUACUCAGGCGCCUGCCAGCUGGGAAGAGGCCUCACCAAGCCCAGCCCUGCAGCACCUUGGCCUUGGCCUUCCAGCCUCCGGAUGCGAGAGGAUAAAUGUCUCCUGCUGAAGCCGCCAGGUCUGUGUUCUCCUUGUGGCUGCAGCAGCCGCACUAAGACACUGGCCACACCUGGUUUCUCCACAGCCGCUGCAGCCACGAGGAGAAGGCCACCCUCUCGCGUUCAAACACAGGUGCUUUUUAAUUUCCAUAGUCAGUUGCGUCAAGGUGUAACUUACAUAAGAGAAAGUGCAGAUCGUAAGGGUUAGACUUCGAUGCCUUCUUGCAGGUGCACCCACCGUGGAACCACAGCCACAGUGGAGCUGUGGAAUGUGCCCGUCACCCACAGCCCGCCUCUGAGUCACUGCCGUCACCCACAGCCCUGCCCCGACCCACAGCCUGCGUCUCAGUCACUGCCCAUCACCCACAGCCCUGCAUCUCAGUCACUGCCCGUCACCCACAGCCCUGCCUCUCAGUCCCUGCCGUCACCCACAGCCCUGCCUCUCAGUCACUGCCCGUCACCCACAGCCCUGCCUCUCAGUCACUGCCCGUCACCCACAGCCCUGCCUCUCAGUCACUGCCCGUCACCCACAGCCCUGCCUCUCAGUCCCUGCCGUCACCCACAGCCCUGCCUCUCAGUCACUGCCCGUCACCCACAGCCCUGCCUCUCAGUCCCUGCCGUCACCCUGGCUGCUCCUGGAGUUGCACAGAAAUGGAAUUGUGUGCUUGGAUGCCUCCGUGCCCAGCCCCUGUCCCUCCGCGAUUCCUCCUUGCUGCUUUGCGGAGCAGUUGUUGGCCGCUCACAGCUGGGCAGGGCCCGUCCUGGCAACAGACCCCUCCUGCUGCGGUGGUUCCCUCGGUGGUGGACGGGGCUGUCGGCACAUUUUAGCUGUCACCAAUAAAGCUGCUGUGAACAUCCCUGUACACGUCGUUGUGUGGAAUGAGUUUGGUGUGUCUUAGGGAACUCCUUGGGAGUGGAAUGCCUGAGUCACCAGGUGAGGACAAACUCAGCCUUUUAUGAAACUGCCAAGUGGUUGUGACACUUAAACUCCCACCAGCACUGUGUCAUCGUCUGGCAGCCCUGCAACCCCCCAACGUCUGGUAUCUUUUUAAUUUGAGAUGUUCCAGUGGGUAUGUAUUGGUGUGUCACCGUGGUUUUAAUUCACGUUAAAUUAACUACUUGGGCUACACACACACACACACACACACGCACGCAUAUAUUUGGUAUUAUACCAAUACCACGGUCUUAUUUACUAUAGCUUUAUAGUAAGUCUUAAAAUUAAGUAGUUUAAAACAUACAACUUUGUUCUAAGAUUACUUUAUUCAAAGCCUUUUGAAUUACCAUAUACAUAUUAGAAUCAGCUUUUUGAUGUCCAUGAAAAAGACACUGAUUGGCAUCACAUUAAAUCCAAAUAUCAAAGAUUUAAUGAGUUUUGAGGAAAAACUCUAAGCUUAAAAAGUAGGGUUUCCUAAUUCGUGAAUACAAUAUAUUUCUCUACUUUUUAGGUCUUUAAUUCUCAGCAAUGAUUUUUAGUACGCAAUGUACUGAUCUUGUCGUAUUUUCUUUUUUUCUUUCUUCUUUUUUUGAGACAGGGCUUCUCUCUGUCGCCCAGGCUGGAGUACAGGGAUGCGAUCUUGACUCACUGCAGCCUCAACCUCCUGGACUCAAGCCAUUCUCCCCCCUCAGCCUCCCCAGUAGCUGGGACUACAGGCGCCCACCACCACGCCCGGCUAAUUUUGUAUUUUUUGUAGAGACUGGGGUUUCUCCACCUCAUCCAGACUGGUCUUAAACUCCUGGGCUCAAGCAAUCCACCCACCUCAGCCUCCCACCGUGCUGAGAUUAUAGGCAUGAGCCACCGCGCCUGGCCUAUUUUCUUAGAUUUAUCCCUAAGUAAUACAUUUUCUUUGAUGCUAUUGUAAGGCCUUUCUUUGAUGCUACAAUAAGUCCUUUUAAAUUUCUCAUUUUCCAGUUAUUCACUUUCACUGCCAGAAUAUGCGAUGGGCUCUCGGGUAUGCAGUGUGCCAGUCAGCCCCACCCUGACACAGCGGAGCAGAGAGAGACGGUCCUGACGGAGCAGGCCAGGGAUCAGCACCGCCCACUGGGCCUCUGACCCCUCUGACCCAUGACCUCCAAGCCCUGCGGUCAGUCUGUGCCCAGGCCCAGUCUGUGCUGGAGCCCUCCCUGCAGCCCCCUCUGGCAGGACUUCAGAGGGAUCCCCAGCUCCUGGCCCACAUGGCCGCAUCUGGCCCAAACACACAUUCCUUUCGCCACUCUCCUCUGAAUGGAAUCUGGCUUGCCCCGCACAGCCUCUGCCUCCCUCUGCCCCGCACAGCACCCUCCCUCCCUCUGCCCCGCAUAGACCCUCCCUCCCUCUGCC
rnacentral:lncRNA from 1 species